AUCCUCCGCGGGGCGGCUGUGGAGGAGGCGGCGCCCCGGCGGCGGCAGCGGCGGCGGCGAAGGGAAGGACGGACCGACGGCCAGGGGCGCACGGACCGACGGCUGGCUGCCCGGAGCUGAUCGCGAGCCCGGAGACAGCGGCGGGGGACGAUGCGCGGCCCCAGGCCCCGCGCGGGCGGGCGCUGCCCGGGGGGCUGACCGCGGCCGGACGGCGCCCCAGGACCGGGCGAGGGAGCCCGCGCCGCGCGGAGGUCAGGGAGCCCGAGCUGGAGCCAGGGCCCAAGCUGGACCUGAUCCAAAACCUGAGAUCAAACUGGGCCCAGAGCCUGGCCCAGAGCUGGAGCCCAAGUCACAACUGGAUCACCCCUGUCAUGCAGAAGGAGCCGGGCAUUGCGCCUUCCUGCACUGGCAUGCAGAGCUCCAGGCACCUCCCCCUGCUACCACUGCUGCUGCUGCUGCUGCUGCUGGGAGCCAGAGUGUCAGGCGCCUGGGGUCAGGCCGGGAGCUUGGACCUACAGAUUGAUGAGGAGCAACCGGCAGGCACAUUGAUUGGGGACAUCAGUGCAGGGCUUCCACCAGGCACAGCAGCACCUCCCAUGUACUUCAUCUCCGCCCAAGAGGGCAGCGGGGUGGGCACAGACCUGGCCAUCGAUGAACACAGUGGAGUGGUCCGUACAGCCCGUGUCUUGGAUCGUGAGCGGCGAGAUCGCUACCGAUUCACCGCAGUGACUCCUGAUGGUGCCACUGUAGAAGUUACUGUGCGAGUGGCUGACAUCAAUGACCAUGCUCCAGCCUUCCCGCAGGCUCGGGCUGCCCUGCAGAUACCUGAGCAUACAGCUCUUGGCACCCGCUACCCGCUGGAGCCUGCUCGUGAUGCAGAUGCUGGCCGCCUAGGAACCCAGGGCUAUGCACUAUCUGGUGAUGGGGCUGGAGAGACCUUCCAGCUGGAGACACGUCCUGGUCCAGAUGGGGCCCCAGUGCCAGAACUGGUAGUUACUGGGGAGCUGGACCGAGAGAACCGCUCACACUAUAUGCUUCAACUGGAGGCCUAUGAUGGCGGUUCACCCCCGAGGAGGGCCCAGGCCCUGCUGGAUGUGACACUGCUGGACAUCAAUGACCAUGCCCCAGCUUUCAAUCAGAGCCGCUAUCACGCUGUGGUGUCUGAGAGCCUAGCCCCUGGCAGUCCUGUCUUGCAGGUGUAUGCAUCUGAUGCCGAUGCUGGUGCCAAUGGGGCUGUGACUUAUGAGAUCAACCGGAGGCAGAGUGAGGGUGAUGGACCCUUCUCCAUUGAUGCACACACAGGACUGCUGCGGCUGGAGCGGCCACUGGACUUUGAGCAACGGCGGGUCCAUGAACUGGUGGUGCAGGCGCGGGAUGGCGGGGCUCACCCUGAGCUGGGCUCAGCCUUUGUGACUGUGCACGUGCGAGAUGCCAAUGACAAUCAGCCCUCCAUGACUGUCAUCUUCCUGAGUGCAGAUGGCUCCCCACGAGUGUCUGAGGCUGCCCCACCUGGCCAGCUCGUUGCUCGCAUCUCUGUGUCAGACCCAGAUGAUGGUGACUUUGCUCAUGUCAAUGUUUCCCUGGAGGGUGGAGAGGGCCAUUUUGCCCUAAGCACUCAGGACAGUGUCAUCUACCUGGUGUGCGUAGCUAGGCAGCUGGAUCGGGAGGAGAGGGAUGCCUAUAACUUGCGGGUUACUGCCACAGACUCAGGCUCACCCCCACUGCGGGCCGAGGCUACCUUUGUGCUGCAUGUCACUGACGUCAAUGAUAAUGCGCCUACCUUUGACCGUCAGCUCUACCGACCUGAGCCCCUUCCUGAAGUUGCACUGCCUGGCAGCUUUGUGGUGCGUGUGACAGCCCGGGAUCCUGAUCAGGGCACUAAUGGUCAGGUCACCUAUAGCCUGGCCCCUGGAGCUCACACCCGCUGGUUCUCCAUCGACCCCACAUCAGGCAUUAUUACCACGGCUGCCUCGCUGGACUAUGAAUUGGAACCUCAGCCACAGCUGAUUGUGGUGGCCACAGAUGGGGGCUUGCCUCCUCUCGCCUCCUCCGCCACAGUCAGUGUGGCCCUGCAAGAUGUGAAUGAUAACGAGCCCCAGUUCCAGAGGACUUUCUACAAUGCCUCACUGCCUGAGGGCACCCAGCCUGGAACCUGUUUCCUGCAGGUGACAGCCACAGAUGCAGACAGUGGCCCAUUUGGCCUCCUCUCCUAUUCCUUGGGUGCUGGACUUGGGGCCUCAGGGUCUCCCCCAUUCCGCAUUGAUGCCCAGAGUGGUGAUGUGUGCACGACCCGGAUCCUAGACCGAGACCAGGGGCCCUCGAGCUUCGACUUCACAGUGACAGCUGUGGAUGGGGGAGGCCUCAAGUCCAUGGUAUACGUGAAGGUGUUUGUGUCAGACGAGAAUGACAACCCACCUCAGUUUUAUCCACGGGAGUAUGCUGCCAGUCUGAGUGCCCAGAGUACACCAGGCACAGCUGUGCUGAGGGUGCGUGCCCAUGACCCUGAUCAGGGGCCCCAUGGGCGACUCUCCUACUACAUCCUGGCUGGCAAUAAUCCCCCACUCUUUGCCUUGGACGAGCACUCAGGGCUGUUGACAGUAGCCUGGCCCUUGGCCAGACGGGCCAACGCUGUGGUGCAGCUGGAGAUUGGGGCCCAGGAUGGAGGUGGCCUGCAGGCAGAGCCCAGUGCCCGAGUCAACAUCAGCAUUGUGCCUGGAACCCCUGUACCACCUGUAUUUGAGCAACUACAGUAUGUCUUUUCCGUGCCAGAGGAUGUGGCGCCAGGCACCAGUGUCGGUGUAGUCCAGGCACGCAACCCACCAGGUCGCUUGGGGUCUGUGACCCUUGCCUUAUCAGGUGGGGAUCCCCGAGGACUCUUCUCUUUAGAUGGGGCCUCGGGGCUGUUACAAACACUUCGCCCUCUGGACCGGGAGCUGCUGGGACCGGUGCUGGAGCUGGAGGUGCGGGCAGGCAGUGGAGUGCCCCCAGCUUUUUCAAUGGCUCGGGUGCGUGUGCUGCUGGAUGAUGUGAAUGACAACUCCCCUGCCUUCCCUGCACCUGAAGACACAGUGUUGCUGCCACCAAGCACUGCCCCAGGGACUCCCAUCUAUACACUUCGGGCUCUGGACCCUGAUGCAGGUGUUAACGGUCGAGUCACCUUUACCCUGCUAGCUGGGGGUGGUGGGGCCUUCACUGUGGACCCCACGACAGGCCAUGUACGGCUUAUGAGACCUCUGGGGCCUCCAGGGGGGCCAGCGCAUGAGCUGGAGCUGGAGGCCCGGGAUGGAGGCUCCCCACCCCGCACCAGCCACUUCCGACUACGGGUAGUGGUACAAGACUCGGCAACCCGUGGGCUGGCUCCUCAUUUUGACAGCCCCAUCUACCGUGUGGACCUGCCCUCAGGCACCACCCCUGGAACUCAGGUCCUGCAAGUGCAAGCUCAAGCACCAGAUGGGGGCCCCAUCACUUACCACCUUGCAGCAGAUGGGCCAAGCAGCCCCUUUGGCCUGGAACCACAGAGUGGUUGGCUAUGGGUGCGAGCAGCACUGGACCGUGAGGCCCAGGAGUUGUACACACUGAAGGUAAUGGCAGUGUCUGGGUCCAAAGCUGAGUUGGGGCAGCAGACAGGCACAGCCACCGUGAGGGUCAGCAUCCUCAACCAGAAUGACCACAGUCCCCGCUUGUCUGAGGAGCCCACCUUCCUGGCUGUGGCUGAGAACCAGCCCCCAGGGACCAGCGUGGGCCGGGUCUUUGCCACUGACCGAGACUCAGGACCCAACGGACGUCUGACCUACAGCCUGCGACAGCUGUCAGAAGACAGCAAGGCCUUCCGCAUCCACCCCCAGACUGGAGAAAUGACCACACUCCAAACCCUGGACCGAGAGCGGCAGAGCAGCUACCAGCUCCUGGUGCAGGUGCAGGACGGGGGGAACCCACCCCGUAGUACCACAGGCACCGUGCACAUCGCAGUGCUCGACCUCAACGACAACAGCCCUACCUUCCUGCAGGCUUCAGGGGCUGCUGGCGGCGGCCUCCCUAUACAGGUACCAGAUCGAGUGCCUCCAGGAACACUGGUGACGACUCUGCAGGCCAAAGAUCCAGACGAGGGGGAGAAUGGCACCAUCCUGUACACACUAACUGGUCCUGGCUCAGAGCUCUUCUCUCUGCACCCUCACUUGGGGGAGCUGCUCACUGCUGCACCCCUGAUCCGAGCAGAGCGGCCGCACUAUGUGCUGACUUUGAGCGCUCACGACCAAGGCAGCCCCCCUAGGAGCUCCAGCCUCCAGCUGCUGGUGCAAGUGCUUCCAUCAGUUCGCUCGGCUGAGCCCCCACCGGAUCCAUCAGAGCCAGACCCAGCGGCUCCGGUGCCCGUCGUGCUGACGGUGACAGCAGCGGAGGGGAUGCAGCCCGGAUCCCUGUUGGGUUCCGUGGCGUCGCCAGAGCUGGCGGGGGUGGGCGCACUCACCUACACUCUGGUGGGCGGCGCCGACCCGGAGGGCACCUUCGCGCUGGACGCGGCCUCAGGGCGCUUGUACUUGGCCCGGCCCCUGGACUUUGAGGCAGGCCCGGCGUGGCGCGCCCUCACUGUGCGCGCUGAGGGCCCGGGAGGCGCGGGCGCGCGGCUGCUGCGCGUGCAGGUGCGCGUGCAGGACGAGAACGAGCAUGCGCCAGCCUUUGCGCGCGACCCGCUGGCGCUGGCGCUGCCGGAGAACCCGGAUCCUGGCGCGGCGCUGUACACCUUCCGCGCCUCGGACGCCGACGGCCCGGGCCCUAACAGCGAUGUUCGCUACCGUCUGCUGCGCCAGGAGCCGCCCGUGCCUGCGCUGCGCUUGGACGCGCGCACCGGGGCGCUCAGCGCACCGCGAGGCUUGGACCGGGAGACCACACCUGCCCUGCUGCUGCUCGUGGAAGCCACCGACAGGCCCGCCAACGCCAGCCGCCGCCGCGCAGCGCGCGUUUCUGCGCGCGUCUUUGUCACGGAUGAGAAUGACAACGCGCCGGUGUUCGCCUCCCCUUCACGUGUGCGCAUCCCCGAGGAUCAGCCGCCCGGGCCCGCGGCGCUGCACGUGGUAGCGCGGGACCCGGACCUGGGCGAGGCCGCACGCGUGUCCUAUCGCCUGGCAGCUGGUGGGGACGGCUACUUCCGGCUACAUUCCAGCACCGGAGCGCUGUCGGUGGUGCGGUCCCUGGACCGCGAACAGCGAGCUGAGCACGUACUGACGGUGGUGGCCUCCGACCACGGCUCCCCUCCGCGCUCAGCCACGCAGCUCCUGACUGUCAGUGUUGCUGACGUCAACGACGAGGCACCCGCUUUCCAGCAGCAAGAGUACAGCGUCCUCUUGCGUGAGAACAGCCCUCCUGGCACUUCUCUGCUCACUCUGCGGGCGACUGACCCAGACCUGGGGGCCAAUGGGCAAGUGACUUACGGAGGCAUCUCUGGUGAAAGCUUCUCCCUGGACCCAGAGACUGGAGUUCUCACAACUCUUCGGGCCCUGGACCGGGAAGAACAGGAGGAGAUCAACUUAACAGUGUAUGCCCGAGACAGGGGCUCGCCCCCACUCUUGACCCAUGUCACAGUGCGGGUGGCCGUGGAGGAUGAGAAUGACCAUGCCCCAACCUUUGGGAGUGCCCACCUCUCCCUGGAGGUGCCCGAGGGCCAGGACCCCCAGACCCUUACUGUGCUGCGGGCCUCUGACCCAGAUGUGGGAGCCAACGGGCAGCUGCAGUACCGCAUCCUGGAUGGGGACCCAUCAGGAGCCUUCAUCCUAGACCUAGCUUCUGGGGAAUUUGGCACCAUGAGGCCACUAGACCGAGAGGUGGAGCCAGCAUUCCAGCUGCAGAUAGAGGCCCGGGAUGGAGGCCAGCCAGCUCUCAGUGCCACUCUACUUGUGACAGUGACCGUGCUGGAUGCCAAUGAUCAUGCUCCAGCCUUCCCUGUGCCUGCCUACUCUGUGGAGGUGCCUGAGGAUGCACCUGCAGGGACCCUGUUGCUGCAGCUACAGGCUCAUGACCCUGAUGCUGGGGCCAAUGGCCGUGUGACCUACUACCUGGGUACAGGUGCAGCAGGAGCCUUUCUGCUGGAGCCCAGCUCUGGGGAAUUGCGCACAGCCACAGUUCUAGACAGAGAACAGUGUCCCAGCUAUGCCUUUUCUGUGAGUGCAGUGGAUGGUGCAGCAGCUGGGCCCCUGAGCACCACGGUACCUGUCACCAUCACAGUCCGUGAUGUCAAUGACCACGCACCCACCUUCCCCACCAGUCCCCUAAGGCUGCGUCUGCCCCGCCCAGGCCCCAGCCUCAGCACCCCAACCCUGCCUCUGGCCACUCUGCGAGCUGAAGACCGUGACGCUGGUGCUAAUGCCUCCAUCCUAUACCGGCUGGCAGGCACACCACCGCCUGGCACCACUGUGGACUCUUACACCGGUGAAAUACGUGUGGCCCGCUCCCCUGUAGCCCUGGGUCCCCGGGAUCGUGUCCUCUUCAUCGUGGCCACCGACCUUGGCCGUCCAGCUCGCUCUGCCACUGGUGUGGUCAUUGUUGGGCUGCAGGGGGAGUCUGAGCGUGGACCCCGCUUCCCUCGGGCUAGUAGUGAAGCCAUGCUCCGUGAGAAUGCACCCCCAGGGACUCCCAUUGUCUCCCCCAAGGCUGUCCAUGCAGGGGGCUCAAAUGGACCAAUCACCUACAGCAUUCUCAGUGGGAAUGAGAGAGGGACUUUCUCCAUCCAGCCUAGUACAGGAGCCAUCACAGUUCGCUCAGCAGAGGGGCUGGACUUCGAGGCAAGCCCACGACUGCGACUGGUCCUGCAAGCAGAGAGCGGGGGAGCCUUUGCCUUUUCUGUGCUGACCCUAACCCUGCAAGACACCAAUGACAACGCUCCCCGCUUCCUGCGGCCCCACUAUGUGGCCUUCCUGCCUGAGUCCAGGCCCUUGGAGGGACCCUUGCUGCAGGUGGAGGCAGAUGACCUGGACCAAGGCCCCAGUGGACAGAUCUCUUAUAGUCUGGCCGCAUCCCAGCCAGCACGGGGAUUGUUCCAUGUAGACCCAGCCACGGGCACUAUUACUACCACAGCCAUCCUGGACCGUGAGAUAUGGGCUGAAACACGACUGGUACUGAUGGCCACAGACCGAGGAAGCCCAGCCCUGGUGGGCUCAGCUACCCUGACGGUGAUGGUCAUUGACACCAAUGAUAAUCGCCCCACCAUCCCCCAGCCCUGGGAGCUCCGAGUGUCAGAAGAUACGCUCUUGGGCUCAGAGAUUGCACAGGUAACAGGGAAUGAUGUGGACUCAGGACCCGUGCUGUGGUAUGUGCUGAGCCCAUCUGGACCCCAGGAUCCCUUCAGCAUAGGUCGCUAUGGAGGCCGCCUCUCACUCACGGGCCCCCUGGACUUUGAGCAACGUGACCGCUACCACCUGCAACUGCUGGCACAUGACGGGCCUCAUGAGGGCCAUGCUAACCUCACAGUGUUUGUGGAGGAUGUCAAUGACAAUGCACCUGCCUUCUCGCAGAGCCUCUACCAGGUGACACUGCUUGAACACACACCCCCAGGAAGUGCCAUUCUCUCCGUCUCUGCCACUGACCAGGAUUCAGGUGCCAAUGGUCACAUUUCCUACCACCUGGCUUCCCCUGCUGAGGGCUUCAGUGUUGACCCCAACAAUGGGACCUUGUUCACAACAGUGGGAACAAUGGCCUUGGGCCAUGAGGGGCCAGGAGUGGUAGAUGUGGUGCUGGAAGCACGAGAUCAUGGGAUGCCAGGCCGGGCAGCACGAGCCACAGUGCAUGUGCAGCUGCAGGACCAGAAUGACUACACCCCUAGCUUCACAUUGCCACACUACCGUGUGGCUGUGACUGAGGAUCUGCCCCCUGGUUCCACCCUGCUCACCUUGGAGGCUACAGAUGCCGAUGGAAGCCGCGCCCAUGCCACCGUGGACUAUAGCAUCGUCAGUGGCAACCGAGGCCGAGUUUUCCAGCUGGAACCCCGGCUGGCUGAGGCUGGUGAAGGUGGUGGACUAGGUCCCCGGGCAUUGGGCUGCCUGGUGUUGCUUGAGUCUCUAGACUUUGAAAGCCUAACCCAGUACAACUUAACUGUGGCUGCAGCUGACCGGGGCCAGCCACCUCGCAGUUCAGCUGUUCCUGUCACUGUCACUGUGUUGGAUGUCAAUGACAACCCACCUGUCUUCACUCAAGCAUCCUACCGCAUGGCAGUUCCUGAGGACACACCCAUUGGAGUUGAAUUGCUGCAUGUGGAGGCCUCUGACGCUGACCCGGGUCCUCAUGGCCUUGUGCGUUUCACGCUCAGCUCAGGUGACCCUUCUGGGCUCUUUGAGCUGGAUGAGAGUUCAGGUGCCUUGCGACUCGCCCAACCCUUGGACUGUGAGACCCAGUCUCGACAUCAGCUUGUAGUGCAGGCUGCCGACCCUGCUGGGACACACUUCGCUCUGGCACCAGUGACUAUCGAAGUCCAGGAUGUGAAUGACCAUGGCCCAGUCUUCCCUUUGAGCUUGCUCAGCACCAGCCUGGCAGAGAACCAGCCUCCAGGCACUCUUGUGACCACUCUGCAUGCGAUUGAUGGGGAUGCUGGGGCUUUCGGAAGGCUCCGCUACAGCCUGUUGGAGGCCGGGCCAGGGCCUGAGGGCCGUGAAGCAUUUGCACUGAACAGCUCAACAGGAGAGUUGAGGGCACGAGUGGCCUUCGACUAUGAGCAUACGGGAAGCUUCCAGCUGCUGGUGGGUGCUGCCGACGCCGGGAAUCUCUCAGCCUCGGUCACUGUGUCGGUGCUGGUGACAGGGGAGGAUGAGUAUGACCCGGUAUUCCUGGCUCCAGCUUUCCACUUCCAGGUGCCAGAAGGUGCCCGGCGUGGCUACAGCUUGGGUCAUGUGCAGGCCACAGAUGAGGAUGGAGGUGCUGAUGGCCUGGUGCUCUAUUCCCUUGCCACCUCUUCCCCCUAUUUUGGUAUCAACCAGACUACAGGUGCUCUCUACCUUCGAGUGGACAGUCGGGCACCAGGCAGCGGGACAGGCACUUCUGGGAGUGGAGGCCGGACACGACGUGAGGCACCACGGGAGCUGAGGCUGGAGGUGGUGGCACGGGGGCCUCUGCCUGGUUCCCGGAGUGCCACAGUGCCUGUGACUGUGGAUAUCACCCAUACUGCCCUGGGCCUGGCACCUGACCUCAACCUGCUGUUGGUGGGGGCUGUGGCGGCCUCUCUGGGAGUUGUGGUGGUGCUUGCUCUAGCAGCACUGGUCCUAGGGCUGGUGCGGGCCCGUAGCCGCAAGGCUGAGGCAGCACCCGGUCCAAUGUCACAGGCAGCGCCCCUGGCCACUGGCUCUCUGCAGAAGCUAGGCCGAGAGCCGCCCAGCCCACCGCCCUCAGAGCACCUCUAUCACCAGACUCUCCCCAGUUAUGGUGGGCCAGGAGCUGGAGGACCCUACCCCCGUGGUGGCUCCCUGGACCCUUCACACUCAAGUGGUAGAGGCUCAGCAGAGGCUGCAGAGGAUGACGAGAUCCGCAUGAUCAAUGAAUUCCCACGUGUGGCCAGUGUGGCUUCUUCCUUGGCUGCCCGUGGCCCCGACUCAGGCAUCCAGCAGGAUGCAGACGGGCUGAGUGACACAUCCUGUGAGCCACCUGCCCCUGAUACCUGGUAUAAGGGCCGCAAGGCAGGGUUGCUGCUGCCAGGUGCAGGAGCCACUCUGUACCGAGAAGAGGGCCCACCAGCCACUGCCACAGCCUUCCUGGGGGGCUGUGGCCUGAGCCCUGCACCCACUGGGGACUAUGGCUUCCCAGCAGAUGGCAAGCCAUGUGUGGCAGGUGCACUGACGGCCAUUGUGGCUGGUGAGGAGGAGCUCCGUGGCAGCUAUAACUGGGACUACCUGCUGAGCUGGUGCCCUCAGUUCCAGCCGCUGGCCAGUGUCUUCACAGAGAUUGCCCGGCUCAAGGAUGAAGCUCGGCCAUGUCCCCCGGCUCCCCGUAUUGACCCACCACCCCUCAUCACUGCUGUGGCCCACCCAGGAGCCAAGUCUGUGCCCCCUAAGCCAGCCAGCACGGCUGCAACCCGGGCCAUCUUCCCACCAGCUUCUCACCGCUCCCCCAUCAGCCACGAAGGUUCCCUAUCCUCAGCUGCCAUGUCCCCCAGCUUCUCUCCCUCACUGUCUCCUCUGGCUGCUCGCUCACCCGUUGUCUCACCAUUUGGGGUGGCCCAGGGCCCCUCAGCCUCAGCACUCAGCCAAGAGUCUGGCCUGGAGCCACCUGAUGACACGGAGCUGCACAUCUAGCUGUGGCCCAGGCUGGGCCCCGACCUGGGAUGCGCACAGUGUCCCCAAUGCAGGCCCCAUCUGAGCCUGCCCUGGGCAGCCUCGGACCAUGAUUGGCCACGGGGGAGGCCAGCUCCCCAUCCUAAACUCCUCCAGUGGCAGCAGGUCCCACAUCUCACCCUGGCCCCAUCAGAGCACCAGUGCCACAGAGGCCCUGUUUGGCACUGACCCAGGGCCAGGUCCAGUGUGGGGAGAAUUAUGAAGGAGGCAGCAGCCCUGGGUUCUCCUCAGUGAGGGCUUCCUGCCCUGUGCCAGCACCUUGAGGUGGAGCUGAGACUUUAUUUAUUGGGGGGUAGGGAGGAUGGGGGGAGGUCCCUCCAACCUGUUCAGGCCCAGCUCCUUUGGGUUCCACUGACACCCCUGCCCCUGCCCAGAACCAAGUGCCAAUUCUCACUCUGGAGCCUUAAUAAACUGCAGUUUCUUACACACAU